rnacentral:tRNA from 1 species
GCAAGAGUAGCUUAACGAUAAAGCAAAGCAUUGAAAAUACUUUUAUAGUGGGUUUAAUUCCCCUCUUUUUGCA